GUAUUUCUGAAUAUUAGAUAUUUUAAUCUUCAUUAGAAAAAACUGAAAAGAUGUUUUGAUGAAGUAUCAUAUGAAAUAAUGUUAAUGUUAACAUGCACAUAUACAAUUAAAAAUCCUUUCAUUCACUGCAAAUAUGUAAGAAACAUUGCAAAUAACAAAAAUAUAUUUAUUAAUGGGCAAAAACUUUGGAUUACAAAUCAGCCAAAAACGUCUAUAUUAACCUGUAUUGAUCCUCACUUGUUUGUUGUUUGGAUGUUCAGAUAAAUGAUGAUCUUUCAUAUAUUUUUUCUUUAUAAUUUGUAUAUAAUGUAAGAGAAAUAAAAAUCUAAAAAUAUCAAAAUGGUUUUCAUAAUGUUUGAUCAUUUAAUGCUGUUGACAACAUUGUAACUAUACUUCAUUUGUCCUAGAAGUUUUAUUAUUUCAAGCAUUCAGUACAUCAAUAAUGAGAGACUGGCAAUAAAUAGUUUACACAUAUAAUGGAUGCAACAGUAUGAUUGACAUUAUUUUUCAUAUUAGAUGUAGUUGCAAUUUUAUUGUGUUAAUUAAUGCAAAUAUUCGAAUUAAAAAUAAAUCAUUCCUAGCUCCACUUUUUGAUGAUUAUCCCAAUAUCAUUCAGCUGCAGUCAGCUAGAUAUCUUUUUAAACAUUGUCUCAUUCUAUUUGUUAAAGUAACAGGCAAAAUGGGAAUGUCAGAUUAAUGCAUUUCACCGCCACUGCGCAAACUCGGUAUUCAAAGAAAAUGGCAGUAAACAGACGUGAUUAUAUAUCUAAUUACACCAUGCAACAAAUUAAGCUUUGAUAAGUGAAUUGGAGAAAUAAGCUGCUCUAUUUUGGAGAAUAUGAUAAUGUAUCGAAGCAGUCGUUGAGAGAAAUGUGGAAUGACUGUCAGUAAAUGCGCAAUAAAGAUUUGGUAUUAAUAU
rnacentral:lncRNA from 1 species